AAAAUAUAGCAAGCCGAGCUUGAUUAGCGAGGUUUUGCGAUCAAUUUUGUAUUUAAAACCCAACUCUUUGAAUCAAAUAAUUUAUGUAUAUUAAGUAAUAAAGA
rnacentral:misc_RNA from 1 species